ensembl:lncRNA
AGUUGUGAAAAUAUAUAGUGAGUUAAAUGUUGGAACAGGAGGAUAUAAUAAUUUAUAUUCAGGCUUAUAUUCAAGCUAUAAUUCUAACUGAACUUUUUUAGAUCCAUCCAUCCAUCUCUUCCGUUUUUCCUUAUCAGGGUUGUUGGGGGGCCUGGAGCCAGCCGUCAUAGGAUCCUGACAGUGCUGAAUCAAAGAGGCAACUUUGAACUCCUAUCAGAUAUCUGCUGGGGGAGAGAAGGAGGAGGAGGAGAGAGUGAAGGUGGAGGAAAAGAGUAUUUUUCACAUGGACUUUCUGUGAAAGAAGCUCCGCAUUAAAGAAGUUGAUGACACCAAAUAGCUCCAAGCAUCAGCCCAACCUGUGUCUGCACUGCAUUCAGCUCCACAAUCCUUGAAAACUCCCCGAAGGUUAAAAAACUUCACGAAGUGCCGCAGCUUCCCAGGCAAGUUCUAUUCAACAGCUCCCCCUUGAGAAUAGCAGCUCUCAGAAGCAUCCAAGGUUGGAGGGAAAGAAAAAAACAGAGAGGUAGAGAGGCAGAGUAGAGAGAAAGAGUGAGAUGAAGACGAAAGAGGAGAUGAAUGCUAGCAGAGCUCAAUGCUGUUUUCCAAGGCUGCUCAGAUGGGAUCAAUUCAGAAGCGAGUGAGAACUGUGAAGAGAGGUAAACAUAUUAGAAGGUGUGUGUGUGUGUGUGUGAGACUGAGUUUAGCUGUGAGUGUAGGAGUUUGAAUUCAGUCGGGGAGGUCUUUGUCUUCAAGUGAAUCCAGUUAAAUGGAGGGGUGAUGAGAAAUAUGAAUCCUCGGUCCAAACCAAUUGAUUGCCUGCAAGGUUAGCCGCUGUAACAGAGAAAUAUUAACCAAGACAGCCAGAGC